rnacentral:tRNA from 1 species
AAAAAUGAAGAAUUGUAGAUUCAUCUCAGUUACAUUGAGAAAAACCAGCUUAUUUGGCGUUUUUAU